GCCAUUUCUCAUACGCUGCAGCGCAAGCUUAUUUCUCCGAGGACAAGGACAUUCAUCAUGAUUAUUGUUUUUUUAAGGCUUAAUCUCCAGUGAUGCUCUCUCCCUCUGAAUUUGAAUACUGCCAUUUCCUCAUAAGAAUUUCACAUUGUAUCCCACGGAAAACCACAGGAGUUACUUACAGACGGGAGGGAGAGGAGGAAGCCACCCCGGAACCGGUGAUCGGGAACCGAGAAGAAGGCUACAGUGAGCCAGGUGGCGGGACGCGGGGGCCACUGCGGCCUCACUCCGGGGGCUAUUCCUGCGGACCGGUCUCUCUGUGAGGAGCAGGGAUGCCGUCUUGGAGCUCCUGCAAGUCUCACAGUAUUGGAGCCGCUGAGCAAGAGAGUGGAACGGUGUUUGGAGCAGCGGGGAGCACAGAGCCAGCACGGAGCACGGGGUCCUGCGCAACAGAGGUGCUUGUGUUCCUUCCAGAGUUGAUUUUGCAGUUCUGGAGGCUGAAGUCCAAGACCAAGAUGCCAGCAGAUCCCAUGUCUGGCACUCAGUACCCGCAGGGAGCCUUGCACCCCGUCUGGCUUUGGAGUUAUCACGCCACGCCGGGGUCAGCAGACAGGCUGUUGACGGGAUCGCAAGUUCAGAAGCGCGCGUCCGUCAAGCGGGAAGAGUCCGGACUCCAUAUUGACAUCUUCCAGGCCAGCGCGUUCCAUUCCAAGUGGUGGGAGCAUUAGCACCAGCAGGUGGAAUCGGUUCCUCCAACGGUUUAGGACGAGUGUGCCGGACACGCUGUUGCUUCCUGCGGAUCACACACCAGCCUUCUC
rnacentral:lncRNA from 1 species